rnacentral:other from 2 species
CAACUCCUGCGAUGAACGUAGGCUUAAGAUGUCUCAAACCGAUGCAUUGUUUUCGGGAAUUCAACAUUGUUAUUUUGACAACACGCCAAGUAAGCGAAUUGGACGUUGGAGAAAUAGCUGCGAGUACCCACCUGCUUAGAGCGGGUUUUGAGACACUACGAGCUACGUCAGAGCGGGGAAAUU